GCGCCCUUAGCUCAGUUGGAUAGAGUAACGACCUUCUAAGUCGUGGGCCGCAGGUUCGAAUCCUGCAGGGCGCGCCA
rnacentral:tRNA from 1 species